rnacentral:rRNA from 1 species
UGGGGAAUAUUGCACAAUGGGCGCAAGCCUGAUGCAGCCAUGCCGCGUGUAUGAAGAAGGCCUUCGGGUUGUAAAGUACUUUCAGCGGGGAUGAAGGGAGUAAAGUUAAUACCUUUGCUCAUUGACGUUACCCGCAGAAGAAGCACCGGCUAACUCCGUGCCAGCAGCCGCGGUAAUACGGAGGGUGCAAGCGUUAACCGGAAUUACUGGGCGUAAAGCGCACGCAGGCGGUUUGUUAAGUCAGAUGUGAAAUCCCCGGGCUCAACCUGGGAACUGCAUCUGAUACUGGCAAGCUUGAGUCUCGUAGAGGGGGGUAGAAUUCCAGGUGUAGCGGUGAAAUGCGUAGAGAUCUGGAGGAAUACCGGUGGCGAAGGCGGCCCCCUGGACGAAGACUGACGCUCAGGUGCGAAAGCGUGGGGAGCAAACA